UUGACGGGGGCCCGCACAAGCGGCGGAGCAUGCGGAUUAAUUCGAUGCAACGCGAAGAACCUUACCAAGGCUUGACAUAUACCGGAAACUUCCAGAAAUGGUUGCCCCGCAAGGUCGGUAUACAGGUGGUGCAUGGUUGUCGUCAGCUCGUGUCGUGAGAUGUUGGGUUAAGUCCCGCAACGAGCGCAACCCUCGUUCUAUGUUGCCAGCACGUCAUGGUGGGAACUCAUAGGAGACUGCCGGGGUCAACUCGGAGGAAGGUGGGGAUGACGUCAAAUCAUCAUGCCCCUUAUGUCUUGGGCUUCACGCAUGCUACAAUGGCCGGUACAAAGGGCUGCGAUACCGUAAGGUGGAGCGAAUCCCAAAAAGCCGGUCUCAGUUCGGAUUGAGGUCUGCAACUCGACCUCAUGAAGUCGGAGUCGCUAGUAAUCGCAGAUCAGCAACGCUGCGGUGAAUACGUUCCCGGGCCUUGUACACACCGCCCGUCAAGUCAUGAAAGUCGGUAACACCCGAAGCCAGUGGCCUAACCGCAAGGAGGGAGCUGUCGAAGGUGGGAUCGGUGAUUAGGACUAAGUCGUAACAAGGUAGCCGUACCGGAAGGUGCGGCUGGAUCACCUCCUUUCUAAGGA
rnacentral:rRNA from 1 species